UGGUAGUGUGGUGCCAUGAGCGGGGGGAUAACGAAGGGGGACAGGGUGAAUCGGAAAUCAGGGGCGCAAAGCGAGCUUAGGUGGUUUGGUAAUAUGGAAGUGAAAUCCCCGGGGUCAACCUGGGAACUUCAUCCAUAACUGCCUGACUAGAGUACGGUAGAGGGUGGUGGAAUUUCCUGUGUAGCGGUGAAAUGCGUAGAUAUAGGAAGGAACACCAGUGGCGAAGGCGACCACCUGGACUGAUACUGACACUGAGGUGCGAAAGCGUGGGGAGCAAACAGGAUAGAUACCCUGGUAGUC
rnacentral:rRNA from 1 species